CCGUGCUAAGUGGGGAAUUAGCGGUGCCCUGUACUUGCAAUCCGCUCUAGCAAGACUGAACUCCACUUUCGAGGAAUCAAAUGUGAGGUCUGCCUCACGUACGUCGAUGUUGAGAUCUCGGUCCUAUGCAAUAGAACGUCAUGAACCAUGUCAGGUCCGGAAGGAAGCAGCAUUAAGUGACCCAUUCUAUGUGCCGUAGGGUAGCCGAGGUUGAGUCGAAUGCGUGAGUAACGCUUGUGUUUGAUAUUCGACAAAGUGGUGCACGG
rnacentral:SRP_RNA from 1 species